AAAUAGAUAAGCUAAUUAAGCUAAUGGGCUCAUACCUCAUCAAUAAAGGACUAACCUUUUCUAUUUA
rnacentral:tRNA from 1 species